GUCACAAGGUGACGAUCUUUAGGGGCGGAACCAAAAUUCGGGAAGUUUGGUUCCGCCCGGGAGUGUUUCCGCCCGGACCGGAAAAACAGAACACCGGAACUUCCGGUAGCACCGUAAGAGGGAAAAUCAGGGAAUUCGAUGCACCUGUGCCUAGUUAGGGACAGCGGUUGGUGAUUGGAGGAUACGCUGGACAAGGCAGUACUUAAGGCCAAGUUAUUUCACAGUCUGGGAGCUCUUUCUGGCUGGAAUUGUAUGAUUGUGAAGACAUCGCGAACCUUAAAGGUUGAGAAGUGAACGGAUUAUUCGGCGAAUUGAGACGACGUGAAAAAGGGGAUUGGAAGCGGCAUUGAUGUGAGUACUAAGAGCAAGCCGAAAGUGCCCUGUAUAUUGACCUGGCGUUGUGUAGAUCUCCCCAGGAGGAGGAGGGCGGCCCUACCCCUAAUAUAGCGUGGUGGGAGAGCCGAAGGAAUACUUAUUGAAGUAGUCACAACGACGACAUCACUAGCUAGGCCGCAUAUUCCAUCGCCGGAUCCGAACCAAGCAAAGUGAAGGAAGACGGGUGUCCUUUUUGUACACUGAGUGUGGUGGGUGAGUCUUCGUGCUGUGGAAACCUAUAAUUUUGACGUGGUGCUGUAUAUUGCUGUGGGUUGCUGUGUAUUGCCGUGUGUCCUGUCAGAUAAACCCCCGCCUUCACGCACUCCGUCGCGGGAGGACAAGGAGACUGCUGGUUCUAGCCUAGUUCAGUACAGUAUAUGUUGUGAGCGUGCUUCAGAUCUCCGGAGAUAGCACGGUACGCUGUGUUCAGCCCAGAGGUGAGAGUCAUUCAAAGCAAACUAACUGUGCUAUUGUGUCCAAGUUGAUACCUGUGGAGAGAAAAGGAGAGAGAGUGAAUAACACGAGGAGGAAUAGAGCGAAUCCUGUACUUACAGUACGUUGUGUCCAGCCCAGAGGUGAAAGCCAUCCAAAGCAGAGUAACUGUGUUUUGUGUCCAAGUUGAUACCUGUAGAGAGGAGGAGAGAGAGUGGAUAACGCGAGGAGAAAUAGAGCGAAACCUGUACUUACAGUACGCUGUGUCCAGCCCAGAGGUGAGAGCCAUUCAAAGCAAACUAACUGUGCCAUUGUGCCCAAGUUGAUACCUGUGGAGAGAAAAGGAGAGAGAGUGAAUAACACGAGGAGGAAUAGAGCGAAUCCUGUACUUACAGUACGUUGUGUCCAGCCCAGAGGUGAAAGCCAUCCAAAGCAGAGUAACUGUGUUUUGUGUCCAAGUUGAUACCUGUAGAGAAAAGGAAAGAGAGAGUGAGUAACACAAGGAGAAACAGAGGAAACCUGUACUUACAGUACGCUGUGUUCAGCCCAGAGGUGAGAGUCAUUCAAAGCAAACUAACUGUGCUAUUGUGCCCAAGUUGAUACCUGUGGAGAGAAAAGGAGAGAGAGUGAAUAACACGAGGAGGAAUAGAGCGAACCCUGUACUUACGGUACGUUGUGUCCAGCCCAGAGGUGAAAGCCAUCCAAAGCAGAGUAACUGUGUUUUGUGUCCAAGUUGAUACCUGUAGAGAGGAGGAGAGAGAGUGGAUAACGCGAGGAGAAAUAGAGCGAAACCUGUACUUACAGUACGCUGUGUCCAGCCCAGAGGUGAGAGCCAUUCAAAGCAAACUAACUGUGCUAUUGUGCCCAAGUUGAUAUCUGUGGAGAGAAAAGGAGAGAGAGUGGGUAACACGAGGAGAGACCGAGGAAACCUGUACUUACGCCGCUGCCUGUGGAGAAAGAGAAAGCGAGUGAGCACCCAAGGAACGAACUGUGUGAACCAGUACUUACUGUGAGCUGAAAUCAGUGAAGAGGUGAGAGCAAAACCAAGCCGAAUUAACUGUGCCUUUGCGUCCCAGCCGUUGCCUGUGGAGGAAGAGAAAGAGAGUGAGCACCCCGAGAACGAACUGUGUGAACCAGUACUUACCGUGAGUUGUAUUCAGCGAAGAGGAGGAAGAAGGAGGGCGCUACGGAUACCUAAGACUCUGGCCUGGCCCCGAGCCCCACGCCCCGGAUCCCCGUGGCCCCCUUGCUCCCUGACCUCUUCCCGGCCAUAGCCCAUCUGGAGGACCGAGUCAGAGUUUAGUUUUAAUUGCCCUUUCCCUAUUCCCCAAGCUAUUUUUAAAUAUUUAAAUAAAGAUUGUUUUAUCACUUA